rnacentral:rRNA from 1 species
UUGCGANUGGGCGAAAGCCUGACGCAGCGACGCCGCGUGGGGGAUGAAGCUUCUCGGAGUGUAAACCCCUUUCGACCCGGACGAAUGACCCGCAAGGGUUUGACGGUACGGGUAUAAGAAGCCCCGGCUAACUACGUGCCAGCAGCCGCGGUAAUACGUAGGGGGCCAGCGUUGCUCGGAAUUACUGGGCGUAAAGGGUUCGUAGGCGGUGCGGCAAGUCGGGAGUGAAAUCUCUGGGCUUAACUCAGAGGCUGCUUUCGAAACUGCCGUGCUCGAGUGCGGGAGAGGCCAGUGGAACUGCAGGUGUAGCGGUGAAAUGCGUAGAUAUCUGCAGGAACACCCGUGGCGAAGGCGGCUGGCUGGACCGCAACUGACGCUGAGGAACGAAAGCUAGGGGAGCAAACAGGAUUAGAUACCCUGGUAGUCCUAGCCCUAAACCAUCAGGACUUGGGGUGGCCCGCGUAGGCGGGUCGUCCCGUAGCUAACGCGUUAAGUCCUGCGCCUGGGGAGUACGGUCGCAAGGCUGAAACUCAAAAGAAUUGACGGA